UCCGGUUUGUCACCGGCAGUCUCGCAUGAGUCCCCAACUAAAUGCUGGCAACAUACGACGGGGGUUGUGCUCGUUGCGGGACUUAACCCAAUAUCUCACGACACGAGCUGACGACAGCCAUGCACCACCUGUGAAGGUGCCCCGAAGGGGAAGAUCUGUCUCCAGACCGGUCAGCGGGAUGUCAAGACCUGGUAAGGUUCUUCGCGUUGCUUCGAAUUAAACCACAUGCUCCACCGCUUGUGCGGGCCCCCGUCAAUUCCUUUGAGUUUCAGCCUUGCGGCCGUACUCCCCAGGCGGAGUGCUUAAUGCGUUAGCUGCAGCACUGAGGGGCGGAAACCCCCCAACACUUAGCACUCAUCGUUUACGGCGUGGACUAC
rnacentral:misc_RNA from 1 species